rnacentral:rRNA from 1 species
AUACGGAGGGUGCAAGCGUUACUCGGAAUCACUGGGCGUAAAGCGCGCGCAGGCGGCUUGAUAAGUUGGAUGUGAAAGCCUACGGCUCAACCGUAGAACUGCAUCCAAAACUGUCAGGCUUGAGUGUGGGAGAGGAAGAUGGAAUUAGUUGUGUAGGGGUAAAAUCCGUAGAGAUAACUAGGAAUACCAAAAGCGAAGGCAAUCUUCUGGAACACUACUGACGCUGAGGCGCGAAGGCGUGGGGAGCAAACAGGAUUAGAUACCCUAGUAGUCC